UAGGGAAUCUUCCGCAAUGGACGAAAGUCUGACGGAGCAAUGCCGCGUGAGUGAAGAAGGUUUUCGGAUCGUAAAACUCUGUUGUUAGAGAAGAACAAGGAUGAGAGUAACUGCUCAUCCCCUGACGGUAUCUAACCAGAAAGCCACGGCUAACUACGUGCCAGCAGCCGCGGUAAUACGUAGGUGGCAAGCGUUGUCCGGAUUUAUUGGGCGUAAAGCGAGCGCAGGCGGUUCUUUAAGUCUGAUGUGAAAGCCCCCGGCUCAACCGGGGAGGGUCAUUGGAAACUGGAGAACUUGAGUGCAGAAGAGGAGAGUGGAAUUCCACGUGUAGCGGUGAAAUGCGUAGAUAUGUGGAGGAACACCAGUGGCGAAGGCGACUCUCUGGUCUGUAACUGACGCUGAGGCUCGAAAGCGUGGGGAGCAAACAGG
rnacentral:rRNA from 4 species